rnacentral:rRNA from 1 species
UACGUAGGGUGCAAGCGUUGUCCGGAAUUAUUGGGCGUAAAGAGCUCGUAGGCGGCCUGUCGCGUCGGAUGUGAAAAUCCAAGGCUCAACCUUGGACCUGCAUUCGAUACGGGCAGGCUAGAGUUCGGUAGGGGAGACUGGAAUUCCUGGUGUAGCGGUGAAAUGCGCAGAUAUCAGGAGGAACACCGGUGGCGAAGGCGGGUCUCUGGGCCGUAACUGACGCUGAGGAGCGAAAGCGUGGGGAGCGAACAGG